AGCGAACGCUGGCGGCAGGCCUAACACAUGCAAGUCGAACGAACCUUUCGGGGUUAGUGGCGGACGGGUGAGUAACACGUGGGAACGUGCCUUUAGGUUCGGAAUAACUCAGGGAAACUUGUGCUAAUACCGAAUGUGCCCUUCGGGGGAAAGAUUUAUCGCCUUUAGAGCGGCCCGCGUCUGAUUAGCUAGUUGUUUGAGGUAAUGGCUCACCAAGGCGACGAUCAGUAGCUGGUCUGAGAGGAUGAUCAGCCACAUUGGGACUGAGACACGGCCCAAACUCCUACGGGAGGCAGCAGUGGGGAAUCUUGCGAAAUGGGCGAAAGCAUGACGAAGCCAUGCCGCGUGAAUGAUGAAGGUCUUAGGAUUGUAAAAUUCUUUCACCGGGGACGAUAAUGACGGUACCCGGAGAAGAAGCCCCGGCUAACUUCGUG
rnacentral:rRNA from 1 species